rnacentral:rRNA from 1 species
AUUGAACGCUGGCGGCAGGCCUAACGCAUGCAAGUCGAGCGGAUGAGUGGAGCUUGCUCCAUGAUUCAGCGGCGGACGGGUGAGUAAUGCCUAGGAAUCUGCCUGGUAGUGGGGGACAACGUUUCGAAAGGAACGCUAAUACCGCAUACGUCCUACGGGAGAAAGUGGGGGAUCUUCGGACCUCCCGCUAUCAGAUGAGCCUAGGUCGGAUUAGCUAGUUGGUGAGGUAAAGGCUCACCAAGGCGACGAUCCGUAACUGGUCUGAGAGGAUGAUCAGUCACACUGGAACUGAGACACGGUCCAGACUCCUACGGGAGGCAGCAGUGGGGAAUAUUGGACAAUGGGCGAAAGCCUGAUCCAGCCAUGCCGCGUGUGUGAAGAAGGUCUUCGGAUUGUAAAGCACUUUAAGUUGGGAGGAAGGGCAGUAAGUUAAUACCUUGCUGUUUUGACGUUACCAACAGAAUAAGCACCGGCUAACUUCGUGCCAGCCGCCGCCGUAAUAC